rnacentral:rRNA from 1 species
AUUAUCCUACGGGACGCAGCAGUGGGGAAUAUUGCACAAUGGGGGAAACCCUGAUGCAGCGACGCCGCGUGAGCGAUGAAGUAUUUCGGUAUGUAAAGCUCUAUCAGCAGGGAAGAAAAUGACGGUACCUGACCAAGAAGCCCCGGCUAACUACGUGCCAGCAGCCGCGGUAAUACGUAGGGGGCAAGCGUUAUCCGGAUUUACUGGGUGUAAAGGGAGCGCAGGCGGCACGGCAAGCCUGAUGUGAAAGCCCGCGGCCCAACCGCGUGACUGCAUUGGGAACUACCG